UACGUAGGGGGCCAGCGUUGUCCGAAGUUACUGGGCGUAAAGCGUGCGUAGGCGGUUCGCUGUGUCCGAUGUGAAAGCCCCGGGCUUAACCUGGGAAUGGCAUUGGAAACUGGCGGGCUUGAGUGCGGCAGAGGGGGGUGGAAUUCCGCGUGUAGCAGUGAAAUGCGUAGAGAUGCGGAGGAACACCGAUGGCGAAGGCAGCCCCCUGGGUCGACACUGACGCUCAGGCACGAAAGCGUGGGGAGCAAACAGG
rnacentral:rRNA from 1 species